AGUCCUGCAUGCAGACCGCAGCCACUGACUGUUCCCGAGUCACCAGGCCACUCUUCUCUCCUGCCUCAUCGUCUUAUUCAGGGUCCACGUCAUUCUGCCACCUAUUUGAGGACACCAGGCCUUGGCUGUUUCUGCUUCUUGUACCUCCUGAGUCAGGUGGCGGUGGGGGAGGGCAGACGCCACACACACCUGGGUCCACUGGCCGCACGGCUCCUGGAAAUGCUAGUGUGACUUUCCUAAGGGUUCUUUCAAAGGACACUUUUAGACCUGCCUUUUGUCCCAAGGAUUCUAGUUGCUUCAUCUUUAGUACCACAGACUGGUGGCUAAACAACGAACAUUUACUCUGCCAGGACAACCUCGCUGCCCUCGUGGUUCCCAGCACCCGCCCGGACCUCCACACCAGGCUACUGUUUCCCCAAACGAGUGAGUGUCCUACUCCCUUCCGGCAGCCCUGACCUUCUCCUGCCUCGGAUUCUUUCAUUCUCUUCUCGGCUCCUAAAUUCAAGCUCCCCUUAUAAAGCUCAGCCCAGAUUCCCAUGAUAACGUGCUCUGCGAUUAUUUGCCGAUUCCAUCAACAUUUUUUGAGUACCUGUUGUGUGCCUGACACCUACGGCACUCAGAGCUGGAAGUGGAUCCAGCUGUGAGCAGAACACAGACCCUCGGGGAUCCCCCAGCCUGCUGGUAGAGACGACCCCCAUCCAGGGAGAUGCGGGAGCACCGAGGAGAAGCCCCAACCCUGGGGUUCAUGGAUGGCUUCCUGGAAGAGGAAGCAAGGUGAAGUCAGAGGCUAAAAAUGCACACAUUUGCAGGUGUUGAGCAAGUAGUGUGGACGCGUGAGCGAUGAGGCACAAUAGAGCAUGAAGGCGCGGGCGGUGGCAAAGGGAACUUCGCCAUCUGGGGAGGCAUCCUCUGCCCAGCUUUGAUCACUCCCUGGGAUGUGAAUAGGAGUUUAUCUUGCCAGAUAUAUGAUCUUCCAAGGUCACAGGAUUUUGCGAAUUUGUAUCAGAUUUCUCAGUUUUUAAAUGUUGCCAACUUGUAACUUUUUAAAAUAGUCAGUGGACCAUACAAGACACAACUGUAGGCCAGGUGUGUUCUGCAGGCCCUUGUUGCAACAUCUUGUCUAAGUGGAAUUCAGCCAGGCGCUGUCAUACGCAGAGCACCUGCCGAGCCAUGUGACGUGCUGCUCUCUGCCAGCCCUGAUCGCCUUCCUUUCCAGCAGGACUUGCGCUUCACACUGGACCUUGAGGCCCCAUGGAGAUCUGCCAUUUUGGGCAGGUUCUGCUCACAGUGCCAGUAACUUCACCUAGGAGAAGAGCGACAACUUCAAGGCCGCAUGACCCAUCUGAUUGUCAUCACACAGGUCCCCGCAGGAGAAUUUCCAUGGCGUUUCUCACUCUUUGUUUGCAAAGAAUUUCUUUUUUUAUCGUUUUCUUUUUCUUUUUCUAUUUUCUUUUUUCUUUUUUUUUUGAGACAGAGUCUCUCUCUGUUGCCCAGGCUGGAGUGCAGUGGCAUGACCUCGGCUCACUGCAACCUCGGCCUCCUGGGUUCAAGCAAUUCUCCUGCCUCAGCCUCCCGAGUAGCUGGGAUUACGGGCACACACCACAACGCUCAGCUAAUUUUUGUAUUUUUAGAAAAGACAGGGUUUUACCAUGUUGGCCAGGCUGGUCUCGAUCUUCUGAGCUCGUGAUCCACCUGCCUCGGCCUCCAAAGUGCUGGGAUUACAGGCGUGAGCCACCACACCCAGCCUAAGAAUUUCUUAGAAUUAAUAUCUGCACUUGGCCCCACAUCCUCUGAGUGAUAACUUAGAACUGUCACUUUAAUUGUUGAGAGAGGAUAUUCAGAGAAUAGUGGGUGAUUUUACAAGCAAGGAUAUGUUUGGGGAGCAUGUUCCCGGUGCAUUCUCAGGGUCUCGUGCAUUCUUUUAGACAUUGAAGACAUCCUGAUCUCCAGUGGAAGCAGAGCCCCAGUCAUACACUUAUCCACCGGGGACGAGUUCCAAGACCCCCAGGGAAUGCCUGAAAGCUCGGGUAGUGCUUACCUCUAUGGAUGUUGUGCACAAAUUUAUUUUUCCCUCUUUACAACUUCAUAGAUUGAAGGUUCGUUCUUACCAAAGAUCUUAGCAACCUUAGCUUAUCAUUCCUUUUAUUUCCUGAUUAAGUGGAGAACUUUCACCUUUUCACUAAAAAAAAAAAGUGCUUUACGGCUGCCUUUGCCACGUGCACAUGGUCUUUUGGGACCAUCCUUAAGUCAAAUAAGGGUGACCUGGAUGCAAGCACUGUGAUACAGAGAAAGUCCAGCUCACCACCAAGAUGGCUGCUGAGCCGCUGGUGGGCGCGGAGUGUCGUGUCUGCAGCGUGAACAUGCCGGGCAAAGGAAUAAUGCAUGUCAGGGAUAGGGUGGAGAAGGACUGUGCCAGGCUUCAUCACACUACUCAGAAUGGCACACAGUUUAGAACUUAUAAAUGAUUUAUUUCUGGAGUGAUCCACUGCAUAUUUUCAGACGGUGGUUGAUCGUGGGUAACUGAAAGCAAAACCUGACUGAAAGGGGCUGCUGUGUUCAUGUCAGCAACGCUGAUGCCCUCGAGGCCAGAAGAGUAACCACCAAUCUGGUACCUGAGCACCUGGCUGUAAGUCCACCCUCCAUUUCUGGCCAGGGCCGAGGAAUUCUCUCUUUUUCUCUUUAUUUUCCUCUUGAUUUGAGAAGGUCAACUCUGAGCAUGCUCUAAACACAAAUCAGCAUCUCUACACUUCUUCGGCACCAGGUGUUGCUACUGUCUUUCUGAUUAGAAAAAAAGAAAUAUCCAGGAAUUCUGGAAGACAGUGAUUGAUUUGCAGCUAUGCUGCAAUGGAGCUAAGAAUCAUUAGCACAACCCGUGCUGGUGUUCGACAAGAUGCCCAAUCAAUUCAUCCGAUGACAGGUGCGCUGUGUCUGCGAAGCGCGAAGCCACGGAGUGAGGUGCUGACCAGGCUCCACCAGGAGCAAGGAACAAGACUCCCCAGGGGCUCCUGGUCCACAGAAGGCAGGGACGCCCACAAACAUACCAUGAGUAAAUAGUUCCAAUGUGAAGAAGACUGAAAAUGCCACAGAAGUGUGAGCCCACUGUUUUGAAAUUCUUUCUGCUGAAGGGAUUGAGAAGAACUCUUCCAUAAAGGAGCAUGACCGAGCCAUGAGUUAUAAUAUAUACAUGCAUAUAGAAAGAGGAUGUGAAUACAGUUGCAGAAGGGCGUCAAAGCCAAAAACACACAGGGAAUGACUUGAGGAAGCUGAGGACCAAGAGCAGUGCUAGCCAUGCCAGUGACUGUGGUCGCUGAGAACUGGAUGAUGGAUGUUUGAGUGACCGUCAGGAGGAUCAGCAUGGGACCAGGAGGAUCAGCAUGGGACCAGGAGGAUCAGCAUGGGACCAGGAGGAUCAGCAUGGGACCAGGAAACAGCAGGCGAGUGAAUGUGAACUCCACUCUCAACAGGGAGAUGACGUGGGUCUCGGAAACCUACAGAUCUGAGUGCUUGCUGUCAGGUCAUGGCAGGGCUCUGACUGCACUGUGGAGGGAACAUCUGUGUUUUUGUCCUCCUGGAACCUAGUGCCCCUUUCCUGGAGGCAGCAUCCUAUUUGACCUGUGUGGGUCCAACCCCACCUCUCUCCUGUAGCAGUGGCAUGGGACCCGGGGCUGGGCCAUUCGCAGCAUUGCCACAGGCAGCAAUGGUGAUUGAUCUAGGAGUUGAUCAUUGAUCCUAACUGGGUGCUCAGGCCAAGGGGAUUGAUUCUUGGUAUUUUUUAAUCUCUUUUUUCCACUGGAAUUAUAGCUAAUAUGAUGAAGCCUAGAUAUACUGCGUAUCUGGCUUUUAGACAGGGCAAACCUGCCUAGAAAUGAAAAUGAAGUCACCACCUGUGAAAGCAGAAACAAGAGCUUGAGAGAGACUGAGUCCUGGUGAGAAUUUCUGAACCCCUUGAUCCAGCGAUGCCUGAAGCCAGAACUACUUGUAAACUUUUCAGUCAUGCAAUCCUGUCACUUCUGUUUGUUCUUAAGUGCAUUUUGUAUGGUUUCUGCCGCUGACCACGGAAACGUCCUUCACUAACAGGGAAGCAGAGUUACCCCAUUUGAGAGCCUCAGAAGGAAGAUGGCAUUCAUGCAAAGGAAGCAUGCGUUUGCUCUCACUUCCUGAGAGAAAGCCUGAAAAUGAAGCCAAUCUCAUUUUCUUUCAGAGAUGAGUCUCUUGAUCAGAGAAUGCCUCAGUUCCCUGUAUCUAAAUUUUAGCAAGUGAGAGAAUGCCUCAGUCCCCUGUAUCUGAAUUUUAGCAAGCGAGAGAAUGCAUUUAGGACAAGCAACAGCGAUGGCUCCCGUGUGUUCUUGGCUGCUCUGUUUCUAAAUGAAGAUUCACCUGGAGGCAGCCUUUGCUGCAGGGACACCCAGAUCUCACCUUGUUCUUGUUCUUUUCAAUCAUUUUAGCAAAGGCUCAGCCUACUGAUCCGAUUUAGAGAUGAGCCAUGAAAGCAGAUAUUUAGAUAAUAUUUUCCCAACUGCCUGGAGCAUUAGGUUAGAACUAGUGAGAUAAAAAUAUAAUGAAAAUAAUAGAAAGCUUUGACCCUCAGAUUU
ensembl:lncRNA LINC02418 long intergenic non-protein coding RNA 2418